rnacentral:misc_RNA from 1 species
GAUGAAGAACGCAGUGAAAUGCGAUAAGUAGUGUGAAUUGCAGAAUUCAGUGAAUCAUCGAAUCUUUGAACGCACAUUGCGCCCCUUGGUAUUCCAUGGGGCAUGCCUGUUCGAGCGUCAUUUACACCCUCAAGCUCUGCUUGGUGUUGGGCGUCUGUCCCGCUGCUUUGCGCGGACUCGCCUCAAAGGUAUUGGCAGCGAUCAUGCCAGCUUCUCGCGCAGCACAUUGCGCUUCUUGAAGUUCUGGUGGAUCAGCGUCCAUUAAGCUUACCUUCAUGACUUGACCUCGGAUCAGGUAGGGAUACCCGCUGAACUUAAGCAUAUCAAUAAGCGGAGGA